CGGGUGAGUAAUGUAUGGGGAUCUGCCUGAUGGCGGGGGGUAACUACUGGAAACGGUAGCUAAUACCGCAUAAUGUCUGCGGACCAAAGCGGGGGGACCUCCGGGCCUCGCGCCAUCAGAUGAACCCAUAUGGGAUUAGCUAGUAGGUAAGGUAACGGCUUACCUAGGCGACGAUCCCUAGCUGGUCUGAGAGGAUGAUCAGCCACACUGGGACUGAGACACGGCCCAG
rnacentral:rRNA from 1 species